rnacentral:rRNA from 1 species
CGAACGCUGGCGGCGUGCUUAACACAUGCAAGUCGAACGCGAAAGAGUUCUUCGGAACUUGAGUAGAGUGGCGCACGGGUGAGUAACGCGUAAGUAAUCUACCCUCGCAUCAGGGAUAACCCAUCGAAAGGUGAGCUAAUACCGGAUACGUCUAAGAUAAUACCUUUUUUUUAGAGAAAGAUGGCCUCUGAUUCAAGCUAUUGUGCGGGGAGGAGCUUGCGUACCAUUAGCUAGUUGGUAGGGUAACGGCCUACCAAGGCAACGAUGGUUAGCGGGUCUGAGAGGAUGAUCCGCCACACUGGAACUGGAACACGGACCAGACUCCUACGGGAGGCAGCAGUGAGGAAUAUUGCGCAAUGGGGGCAACCCUGACGCAGCGACGCCGCGUGGAUGAUGAAGGCCUUCGGGUUGUAAAAUCCUGUCAGAUGGGAAGAAGUGCUAUAUGCUUAAGAGGUGUAUAGUUUGACGGUACCAUCAAAGGAAGCACCGGCUAACUCC